GCUGGCGGCGUGCUUAACACAUGCAAGUCGAACGCGCAGCAUUCUGUAGCAAUACAGGGUGUGGGCGCGUGGCGAACGGGUGCGUAACACGUGGAUAACCUUCCUUCAGGUGGGGAAUAACCCAGUGAAAAUUGGGCUAAUACCGCAUAACAUCGCGAUGGCACAUGCUGUUGCGUUCAAAGGCGCAAGUCGCCAGAAGAGGGAUCCGCGGCCGAUUAGCUUGUUGGCGGGGUAACGGCCCACCAAGGCUUUGAUCGGUAGCCGGACUGAGAGGUUGGCCGGCCACACUGGAACUGAGACACGGUCCAGACUCCUACGGGAGGCAGCAGUGGGGAAUCUUGCACAAUGGACGAAAGUCUGAUGCAGCAACGCCGCGUGGGGGAUGAAGCUUCUCGGAGUGUAAACCCCUUUCGACCCGGACGAAUGCCCGCAAGGGUUUGACGGUACGGGUAUAAGAAGCCCCGGC
rnacentral:rRNA from 1 species